GACGAACGCUGGCGGCGUGCUUAACACAUGCAAGUCGAACGGAAAGGCCCUGCUUUUGUGGGGUGCUCGAGUGGCGAACGGGUGAGUAACACGUGAGUAACCUGCCCUUGACUUUGGGAUAACUUCAGGAAACUGGGGCUAAUACCGGAUAGGAGCUCCUGCUGCAUGGUGGGGGUUGGAAAGUUUCGGCGGUUGGGGAUGGACUCGCGGCUUAUCAGCUUGUUGGUGGGGUAGUGGCUUACCAAGGCUUUGACGGGUAGCCGGCCUGAGAGGGUGACCGGCCACAUUGGGACUGAGAUACGGCCCAGACUCCUACGGGGGGCAGCAGUGGGGAUUAUUGCACAAUGGGCGGAAGCCUGAUGCAGCAACGCCGCGUGCGGGAUGACGGCCUUCGGGUUGUAAACCGCUUUCGCCUGUGACGAAGCGUGAGUGACGGUAAUGGGUAAAGAAGCACCGGCUAACUACGU
rnacentral:rRNA from 1 species